CAUCGCGGGGCUGCACCGGCACGACAGCGGGACCUACGAAGUCCAGGGCGAGCCGGUGGAGUUCGCCUCCCCCCGCGACGC
rnacentral:tRNA from 1 species